UACGUAGGGUGCGAGCGUUAAUCGGAAUUACUGGGCGUAAAGCGUGCGCAGGCGGCUUUUUAAGCCAGACGUGAAAUCCCCGGGCUUAACCUGGGAAUGGCAUUCAGGACUGCGAGGCUCGAGUGUGGCAGAGGGAGGUGGAAUUCCACGUGUAGCAGUGAAAUGCGUAGAGAUGUGGAGGAACACCGAUGGCGAAGGCAGCCUCCUGGGCCAGCACUGACGCUCAUGCACGAAAGCGCGGGGAGCAAACAGG
rnacentral:rRNA from 1 species